rnacentral:misc_RNA from 1 species
GAUGAAGAACGUAGCGAAACGCGAUAAGUAAUGUGAAUUGCAGAAUUCAGUGAAUCAUCGAAUCUUUGAACGCACAUUGCGCCCCUUGGUAUUCCGAGGGGCAUGCCUGUUCGAGCGUCAUUAUAACCCCUCAAGCUCAGCUUGGUGUUGGGGCCUGCUGCACUGGCAGCCCUUAAAAUCAGUGGCGGCGCCAUCUGGCUCUAAGCGUAGUAAUUCUUCUCGCUAUGGAGUCCUGGUGGAUGCUUGCCAUCAACCCCCAAUUUUUCUAUGGUUGACCUCGGAUCAGGUAGGGAUACCCGCUGAACUUAAGCAUAUCAAUAAGCGGAGGA